rnacentral:rRNA from 1 species
GACGGAGGAUGCAAGCGUGAUCCGGAAUGAUUGGGCGUAAAGCGUCCGCAGGUGGCAGUUCAAGUCUGCUGCCAAAGACCGGGGCUUAACUUCGGAAAGGCAGUGGAAACUGAACAGCUAGAGUAUGGUAGGGGCAGAGGGAAUUCCUGGUGUAGCGGUGAAAUGCGUAGAGAUCAGGAAGAACACCGGUGGCGAAGGCGCUCUGCUAGGCCGCAACUGACACUGAGGGACGAAAGCCAGGGGAGCAAACGGG